GAGAGAAGGGCCACAAACCGCUGGCAACCAGAAGAUUAAUUAAGGGACUAUAGUCGGAGAAACUCCACAGUGAGUAGGUGGAAAUGGCAUCCUAGUAAGAAUAGAAUAAGCUGUCCUGAAAAAAAGAUUGUAGAUCUUGAAGAUGAUGGACAGAAUGAUGCAGAUUAAGGACACAUUUUUUAAAUUGUUCAUUUAUUAUUGUUGACUUUUUACUAUUUUGUUUUCUUUCUUUUGUUGAGAAAGGAAGCUGUGAUAUAUGGACUGUUGGGCUAUGUAUGAGUGUGUGAGUGUAUGUUUUGUAAUGCAUGGGCAGAUGGUCUGUUUGUGAAUGAUGCACUUCCUUUCUUGUGGCUCUUUACUUCCUGUUCCUGUUGGCAG